GCACACUUGAUCCAACGUUGCCAAGUCACUAAAAUCUCAAUAUUUGACACCAAUGUGACAAUUGACAGAUUAUCUUGCAAAUAAAUAAAUAAAUGUAAAUUGAUGUAAAUAGUUAUCCUUGGUUAUCCGAACAAAACAAAAACAAAGUCGGGAACAAUGGAUAAAAGCCAUAAGGAGAACAGAACUAAAAUUAAAAUAUGAAAGAAUAUGCAAUAAACAUUGUAUAAGUGGAAGGCCAGCCACUUUAAAAAGAUAUUCCAAACCAAAACAUGGGUUACCAAAGCAGGCAAUAAAAAGAAAGGUGAUCUAGAAUGCAAGAAAAGAGCUGAUGAAAGAAGUAAAUGUAAAGAAAAUAAUGAGACUUCUCUCGACCUUGAACAAACACCAGAU
rnacentral:lncRNA from 1 species